UGGUGGAGUGAUUUGUCUGGUUAAUUCCGAUAACGAACGAGACCUUAACCUGCUAAAUAGUGGCGCUAACCAUGUGUUGGCGUCUCACUUCUUAGAGGGACUGACUACGAUUAGUGGUCGGAAGUUUGAGGCAAUAACA
rnacentral:rRNA from 1 species